ensembl:miRNA xtr-mir-125b-1 xtr-mir-125b-1
UGCACCCCUCUCAAUCCCUGAGACCCUAACUUGUGAUGUUUAGCUUUAAAAAUCCACGGGUUAGGCUCUUGGGAGCUGUGAGUUGUGC